UGCUUUACACAUGCAAGUCGAGCGGCAGCGCGGGGGCAACCCUGGCGGCGAGCGGCGAACGGGUGAGUAACACAUCGGAACGUACCCAGUAAUGGGGGAUAACUAACCGAAAGGUACGCUAAUACCGCAUAUGCCCUGAGGGGGAAAGGGGGGAUCGCAAGACCUCUCGCUUUCGGAGUGGCCGAUAUCGGAUUAGCUAGAUGGUGAGGUAAAGGCUCACCAUGGCGACGAUCCGUAGCUGGUCUGAGAGGACGACCAGCCACACUGGAACUGAGACACGGUCCAGACUCCUACGGGAGGCAGCAGUGGGGAAUUUUGGACAAUGGGCGCAAGCCUGAUCCAGCCAUACCGCGUGAGUGAAGAAGGCCUUCGGGUUGUAAAGCUC
rnacentral:rRNA from 1 species